rnacentral:rRNA from 1 species
GAGUUUGAUCGUGGCUCAGAUUGAACGCUGGCGGCAUGCCUUACACAUGCAAGUCGAACGGCAGCAUGAUCUAGCUUGCUAGAUUGAUGGCGAGUGGCGAACGGGUGAGUAAUACAUCGGAACGUGCCCUGUAGUGGGGGAUAACUAGUCGAAAGAUUAGCUAAUACCGCAUACGACCUGAGGGUGAAAGUGGGGGACCGCAAGGCCUCAUGCUAUAGGAGCGGCCGAUGUCUGACUAGCUAGUUGGUGGGUAAAGGCCCACCAAGGCGACGAUCAGUAGCUGGUCUGAGAGGACGAUCAGCCACACUGGGACUGAGACACGGCCCAGACUCCUACGGGAGGCAGCAGUGGGGAAUUUUGGACAAUGGGCGAAAGCCUGAUCCAGCAAUGCCGCGUGUGUGAAGAAGGCCUCGG